rnacentral:rRNA from 1 species
AUUGAACGCUGGCGGCAGGCCUAACACAUGCAAGUCGAGCGGAGCGGCGGACGGGUGAGUAAUGCCUAGGAAUCUGCCUGGUCGUGGGGGAUAACGUCCGGAAACGGGCGCUAAUACCGCAUCCUAUCAGAUGAGCCUAGGUCGGAUUAGCUAGUUGGUGGGGUAAAGGCCUACCAAGGCGACGAUCCCUAGCUGGUCUGAGAGGAUGACCAGCCACACGGGAACUGAGACACGGUCCAGACGCCUACGGGAGGCAGCAGUGGGGAAGAGUGCACAAUGGGAGCAAGCCUGAUGCAGCCAUGCCGCGUGUAUGAAGAAGGCUUUCGGGUUGUAAAGUACUUUCAGCGGGGAGGCGUUACCCGAAGAAGAAGCACCGGCUAACUCCGUGCCAGCAGCCGCGGUAAUUC